CCCUUAGAUGUUCUGGGCUGCACGCGCGCUACACUGAUGCGUUCAACGAGUUUAUGACCUUGCCCGAUAGGGUUGGGUAAUCUUUUUAAAUCGCAUCGUGAUGGGGAUAGAUUAUUGCAAUUAUUAAUCUUCAACGAGGAAUUCCUAGUAAGCGCGAGUCAUCAGCUCGUGCUGAUUACGUCCCUGCCCUUUGUACACACCGCCCGUCGCACCUACCGAUUGAAUGGUCCGGUGAAUUCUUCGGACUGCGGCUUUGACUCGAUUUCGGUCGAGGCGUUGCUGCGGGAAGUUGAUUAAACCUUACCAUUUAGAGGAAGGUGAAGUCGUAACA
rnacentral:rRNA from 1 species